rnacentral:misc_RNA from 1 species
AGGCUUGGCAAGCCCAACAACAUCCCCCCUCAACUCCCUAGCCCACCCCACCCUGCCAGGUAUAUGAGGCCACGCCCUUCCACGCCCCAAGACAGUCCUGCUGCGUAGGGUGAUCGAGAGAGUCGUGAGCCGAGGCGGAGUGCUGAGUGCUGCAGGAAGGUUCCAGGGCUGUUCUGCCAUUGUGUGUCUGACUUCACUUCGACUACUCUCAAGCACCAACCUUCGCCCACACCGCCACCACCAUGCCUGGCCACGUCGUCCUCAAGAGCACUGGACCUGAUCCCGACCCCACCGAGUACCUCUACGUGUCCCUGGAGCAGAAGCGCAUUGACCAGACCAAGCCCUAUGAUGCCAAGAAGGCGUGCUGGGUGCCCUGCGAGAAGGAAGGCUACGUCAUCGGCGAGAUCCAGGGCACCAAGGGAGACCUGGUAACCGUGGGCCUUAGCGGAGGAGAGACCAAGAACUUUAAGAAGGACGUUGUGUGCCAGGUGAACCCUCCCAAGUUCGAGAAAUGCGAGGAUAUGUCUAACCUGACUUACCUCAACGAUGCCUCCGUGCUGUAUAACCUCAAGUCCCGCUACGUGUGCAAGCUUAUCUACACCUACUCCGGCCUGUUCUGCGUCGCCAUCAACCCCUACAAGCGCUACCCCAUCUACACUAACCGCGUCGUCAAGAUCUACCAGAGCAAGAGGCGUAAUGAGGUCCCGCCCCACAUCUUCGCUAUCGCCGACGGUGCCUACAUGGACAUGCUGCAGAAUCACGAUAACCAGUCUAUGUUGAUCACUGGCGAGUCUGGAGCCGGAAAGACAGAGAACACCAAGAAAGUUAUCCAGUAUUUUGCCAACAUCGCCCGGAGAAGUGACCCCUUUGACAAGAAAGCGGUGCAAGUCAAGUUUUCCUCCGGUGGUAACCUUGAGGACCAGAUCGUGCAGACCAACCCCGUGCUGGAAGCCUUCGGUAACGCCAAAACAGUGCGAAAUGACAACUCCUCUCGCUUCGGUAAGUUCAUCCGUAUCCACUUCGGCCCCACUGGCAAGCUGUCUGGUGCUGAUAUCGAAACCUACCUGCUGGAGAAGGCCCGUGUCAUCUCCCAGCAGUCCCUCGAGCGAUCCUACCACAUCUUCUACCAGCUCAUGUCCAACCAGGUCAAGUGGAUCAAACCGACGUGUCUCUUGUCCAACGACAUCCACGACUAUCACUUCGUGUCUCAAGGCAAGGUCACCGUGGCUUCCAUUGACGACAAAGAGGACAUGCAGUUCACUGAUGACGCCUUCGACGUGCUGGGCUUCAGCAAGGAAGACAAGGAGAACGUGUACAAGGUGACGGCCGCUGUCAUGCACUUCGGAGAGAUGAAGUUCAAACAAAGAGGCCGAGAGGAGCAGGCCGAGGCUGACGGCACAGAGGAAGGUGACAAGGUGGGCAAGCUGAUGGGCGUCGACGGCGCCGACCUGUACAAGAACCUGACCAAACCCAAGAUCAAGGUCGGUAACGAGUUCGUGACGCAGGGCCGUAACAAGGACCAGGUGGCGUACUCCGUGGGCGCUCUGGCCAAGGGUAUCUUCGAUCGUACCUUCAAGUGGUUGGUGAAGAAGUGUAACGUGACCCUCGAGACAGGCCAGAAGCGAGUCACCUUCAUCGGCGUGCUGGACAUCGCCGGCUUUGAAAUCUUCGACUUUAAUGGUUUUGAGCAGCUAUGCAUCAACUUCACCAACGAAAAACUACAACAGUUCUUCAACCACCACAUGUUUGUGCUUGAGCAAGAAGAGUACAAGAGGGAAGGCAUUCAAUGGACCUUCAUUGAUUUUGGUCUUGACCUCCAGGCUUGUAUUGAACUCAUUGAGAAGCCCUUGGGUAUCCUCUCCAUUCUUGAAGAGGAGUCCAUGUUCCCCAAGGCUACCGACAAGUCCUUUGAAGAGAAGCUGAAGACUAACCACCUUGGAAAGUCUCCCAACUUCAUCAAGCCCAAGCCCCCCAAGCCAGGCCAGGCUGAGGCCCACUUCGCCAUCGUUCACUACGCCGGCACCGUACCCUACAACCUCACUGGCUGGCUCGAGAAGAACAAGGACCCCCUCAACGAUACAGUGGUGGACCAGAUGAAGAAGGCCUCCAACCGUCUUUCUGUGGAGAUCUUCCUCGACCACCCAGGACAGUCCGGCGCCCCUGACACCGGCGGCAAGGGUGGAAAGCGCGCCAAGGGCUCUGGAUUCCUGACAGUUUCCUGCCUGUACAGGGAGCAACUGAACAACUUGAUGACGACUCUCAGAAGCACUGCGCCCCACUUCAUCCGUUGUAUCAUCCCUAAUGAGCUGAAGGCGCCUGGUGUGAUCGACGCGGCUCUCGUCAUGCACCAGCUUACUUGUAACGGCGUGCUUGAAGGCAUUCGUAUCUGUCGCAAGGGCUUCCCCAACAGGAUGGUCUACGCUGACUUCAAACACCGCUACAACAUCCUGGAUCCCAAGGUUACCAAAAACUUGAAGGAUGACGACAAGACAGCCAGCCAGGAACUGUUGACUUCAGUGGAGCUCGAGUCUGAAAAGUACCGCAUGGGGCACACCAAGGUAUUCUUCCGCGCUGGUGUGCUGGGUGCCCUCGAGGAAAUCCGUGACGACCGCCUGGCCAAGAUCAUCUCGUGGCUGCAGGCGUGGAUCCGAGGCUACAUCAGCCGCAAGGCCUACAAGAAACUGCAGGAACAGCGCGUGGCCCUCAUCGUGGUACAGAGGAACAUCAGGAAGUUCAUGAAGCUCCGCACCUGGGCAUGGUACCGCCUAUGGCAGAAGGUCAAGCCUCUUCUCAAUGUCACCCGCAUCGAGGACGAGAUUCGCGCCCUGGAGGAGAAGGCCGCCAAGGCUGAGGAGAACUACGAGCGAGAGGCCAAGCUGCGCAAGGAACUCGAAGCUGCAAACCUCGCCCUCCUGGAGGAAAAGAACAACCUUAUGGUCACCCUCGAGUCCACCAAGGGCAACGUGUCUGAAUACCUGGACAAGCAGGCCAAGCUGCAGAGUCAGAAGGCCGACUUGGAAGCUCAACUCAACGAAACCACAGAGCGCCUGCAGCAGGAAGAGGAGGCUCGUAACCAACUCUUCCAGAACAAGAAGAAGACAGAACAGGAACUCAAUGGCCUCAAAAAGGACAUUGAAGAUCUUGAGCUGUCGGUGCAGAAGGCGGAACAGGAUAAGGCUACCAAAGACCACCAGAUCAGAAACCUCAAUGACGAAAUUGCUCAUCAAGAUGAACUCAUCAACAAAAUCAACAAAGAGAAGAAGCACUUGCAAGAAUGCAACCAGAAAACUGCCGAGGACUUGCAGGCUAUUGAGGAUAAGUGCAAUCACCUCAACAAAGUCAAAGCCAAGUUGGAACAGACUCUCGAUGAGCUCGAAGACUCUCUUGAGCGCGAAAAGAAACUGCGCGGCGAAGUCGAUAAGGCCAAGAGGAAAAUUGAGGGUGACCUCAAGUUGACUCAGGAAGCCGUUGCAGAUCUGGAGCGCAACAAGAAGGAACUUGAGCAGAGCAUCCAACGCAAGGACAAGGAAGUGUCUUCUCUUGCCUCCAAGCUGGAGGAUGAGCAGAGUCUUGUAUCUAAGCUGCAGAAGCAGAUUAAGGAACUGCAAGCUCGCAUUGAGGAGCUCGAAGAAGAACUAGAGCAUGAGCGUCAGGCUCGCGCCAAGGCUGAGAAGUCUAAGACUCACUUGGGCCGUGAACUGGAGGAGCUUGGUGACCGCCUAGAUGAGGCUGGCGGCGCCACAGCAGCACAGAUCGAACUUAACAAGAAGCGUGAGGCUGAACUGGCGAAACUACGCCGUGACAUCGAGGAGUCCAACAUCCAGCAUGAAGCCGCCCUCGCCAACCUCCGCAAGAAGCACAACGAUGCCGUCGCCGAAAUGUCAGAGCAAAUCGACCAUCUCAACAAAAUGAAAGCCAGGGCCGAGCGGGAAAAGACCACUCUCUCCUCGGAGCUCAAUGAUGCACGCUCAGCAGCUGAUCUUAUGAGUAAUGAGAAGGCCGCCGCGGAAAAGAUGAACAAGCAGAUCCAGCACCAGUACAACGAGAUCCAGGCCAAACUUGACGAAGCUAACCGCACCCUCAACGACUUUGACGCCGCCAAGAAGAAGCUCGCCGUCGAGAACUCCGACCUUUUGCGUCAGCUCGAGGAAGCAGAAAGCCAGAUCGGUCAGUUGUCCAAACUCAAGCUGUCUCUCACCAACCAGCUCGAGGACAGCAGGAAGCUGGCUGAUGAUGAAUGCAGGGAGCGCGCAACUCUGCUCGGCAAGUUCCGCAACCUUGAGCAUGACAUUGAUGGCCUCCGAGAACAGCUGGACGAGGAGAGCGAGGGCAAAGCUGAUCUCCAGCGCCAACUCUCCAAGUCCAAUGCCGAGGCUCAGAUGUGGCGCGCCAAGUAUGAGUCCGAGGGAGUGGCCCGCGCCGAGGAGCUGGAGGCGGCUCGCCUGAAGCUUGCGGCCCGCCUGGAAGAAGCUGAGCAGCAGAUCGAGCAGCUGAACGUGAAAAACAUGAAUCUCGAGAAGACCAAGCAGCGCAUCUCCACCGAGUUGGAGGACAUGCAGCUGGAAGUGGAGCGUGCACAGACCCUGGCCAACGCCGCAGAGAAGAAACAGAAGAACUUCGACAAGAUCAUCUCUGAAUGGAAGAUGAAGGUUGAUGACCUUGCCGCUGAGCUCGACGCCUCCCAGAAGGAGUGCCGCAACUAUUCCACGGAACUGUUCCGCGUCAAGGCUGCCUACGAGGAGAACCUUGAGCAGCUGGACUCAGUGCGCCGUGAGAACAAGAACCUCGCCGAUGAGAUCAAGGACCUUAUGGACCAGAUCGGAGAGGGCGGCCGAUCUCUCCAUGAAGUCCAGAAGAACGCCAAGCGUCUUGAGAUCGAGAAGGAAGAACUCCAGGCUGCUCUUGAAGAGGCUGAGGCCGCCCUGGAGCAGGAGGAGAACAAGGUGCUCCGCGCCCAGCUGGAGCUGAGCCAAGUCAGGCAGGAAAUCGACAGGCGCAUCCAGGAGAAGGAGGAGGAGUUUGACAACACUCGCAAAUGCCACCAGCGCGCUAUCGACUCCAUGCAGGCGUCCCUCGAGGCUGAGGCCAAGGGUAAGGCAGAGGCUCUCCGCAUGAAGAAGAAACUCGAAUCUGACAUCAAUGAGCUCGAAAUCGCCCUCGAUCACUCUAACAAGGCCAACGCUGACAUGCAGAAGCACGUGAAAAAGCUGCAAAUUGAUAUCAAGGACCUGCAGACCCGCGUGGAGGAGGAGCAGCGUCUGUCCUCUGAGUACCGCGAACAAUACGGCAUCGCUGAGCGUCGCGCCAACGCCCUGCACGGCGAGCUGGAGGAGUCCCGCACCCUGCUCGAACAGUCUGACCGCGGCCGCCGGCAGGCCGAGUCCGACUUGGCUGAGGCCAAUGACCACAUCAACGACCUCACAGCACAGAAUGGCUCCCUCACCCUGGCCAAGAGGAAACUCGAAGGAGAGAUGCAGACCCUACAUGCUGAUCUUGACGAGAUGCUGAACGAGGCCAAGAACUCUGAGGAGAAGGCCAAGAAGGCCAUGGUGGACGCUGCUCGCCUGGCUGACGAACUCCGUGCCGAGCAGGAGCAUGCCCAGAACCAGGAGAAGAUGAGGAAGGCCCUCGAGGUUUCCGUUAAGGAGCUGCAGGUGCGUCUGGAGGAAGUGGAGGGCAAUGCCAUGAAGGCCACCAAGAAGGCCAUCGGCAAACUGGAGAGCCGCGUGCGUGAGCUGGAGAGUCAGCUGGACGACGAGGCUCGCCGCCACGCCGACGCCCAGAAGAACCUGAGGAAGUGCGAGAGGCGCAUCAAGGAGCUCACCUUCCAGGCCGACGAGGACAAGAAGAACCACGAGAGGAUGCAAGACCUUGUCGACAAACUCCAGCAGAAGAUCAAGACCUACAAGCGCCAGAUCGAGGAGGCUGAGGAGAUCGCUGCUUUGAACUUGGCUAAGUUCCGCAAGGCCCAGCAGGAGCUGGAGGAGGCUGAGGAGCGUGCUGACAACGCCGAGCAGUGCGCCAACAAGGUGAAAGCGAAGGGUCGGGCUGAAUCCAUGGCUCGCAUGUCCCCUCAGUCUUCUUGAGUCCUAUCGCACACAGUCACUCAUGCCCUACCACCUCUGUUUCAGCAGCUCUAAGUACCAAGUUAGUGCCAGACCACCCCACGCCCGCCAGUUUUUCAUGUAAGAGACGACGACCGAAGUAACCCCCUAACCCCCAACAUCCCCAUCACCACCACAACUACCACCACCACCACCGAGGCCGCCGCUCCAGCCUUCCUGAACACCCCGGCAUAACACUCCAUCACUGGGGAUCGUUUCAUUACCUUCUCCUGUGGUCAUCAUUCGGCAAUACCUUCCCUUUUGUAUCUUGUUCCCUUUGUGUCUAUUUGUAAGCGGCCCCACUAGAGCAGGGUCGCGUAGUGCCGUGAGGGGAGGAGCGGGCGUGCAGGCGGCGAGGGGACCACAACGGCCUGUCCUCACACUCAUGACCUGCCGUCGAACACCUCUCCACCAACCAGCGUUCGAGUCGAGGCAUAAAGAGUCAGACACACACACACAGCCAACAACCAACAGCCCGGGUGAUGAUGGUGACACAUGCCUCUGCCCGUCCGCCGCCACCGCCGCCCACCUCCCACUCCCAGCAGCAAGGGUCUCCAGCCGUACCUUCCCGACACACUGACACAAUACACAGUUGUUCCUGCGGUCGUGGGUUAAAUACUUCCACCAUAAGCUGGGGAGAUGCCGGCCGGCCGAGGGGGGCUCAAUCUCUUCGCAGCACGCCAUCCUUUUUCCCUGCACAGACCAAUCCACCGUUGUGUUGCGAACGGGGAAAGAUCAGGUUAAUGUGUGGAAUUUCCUAGAGUACCGUUCAACCCUUAAUUUUCUUGUGUAAUACAACUGUCUCAAAAUGUAUGUAUGGAUCUGUAUGAGAAUGUAUUAUAUUAAUAAAAACAAUGGCUGGUA